rnacentral:misc_RNA from 1 species
AGCAGCCGCGGUAAUUCCAGCUCCAAUAGCGUAUAUUAAAGUUGUUGCAGUUAAAAAGCUCGUAGUUGAAUUUCGGAAUCAAUGGAUCGGUCAUGCCACUCGGUGUGUACUGGUUUGAUUGGUUCUCACCUUCUAAGGAACCGUGAUGUCAUUAAUUUGGUGUCGCGGGGAAUUAGGACUGUUACCUUGAAAAAUUAGAGUGUUUAAAGCAAGCUCACGCUUGAAUACAUUAGCAUGGAAUAAUGAAAUAGGACAUUGUAUUCUAUUUUGUUGGUUUCUAGGAUCGAUGUAAUGAUUAAUAGGGAUAGUUGGGGGCAUUAGUAUUCAAUUGUCAGAGGUGAAAUUCUUGGAUUUAUUGAAGACUAACUACUGCGAAAGCAUUUGCCAAGGAUGUUUUCAUUAAUCAAGAACGAAAGUUAGGGGAUCGAAGACGAUCAGAUACCGUCGUAGUCUUAACCAUAAACUAUGCCGACUAGGGAUCGGAUGAUGUUAAUUUUUAAUGUACUCAUUCGGUA